ACGCUGGCGGCGUGCUUAACACGUGCAAGUCGAACGAUGAGGCCUAGCUUGCUAGGUGGAUUAGUGGCGAACGGGUGAGUAAUACGUGAGUAACCUACCUUUAACUCUGGGAUAAGCCUGGGAAACUGGGUCUAAUACCGGAUACGACCAAUCUCCGCAUGGGGUGUUGGUGGAAAGCGUUAUGUAGUGGUUAUAGAUGGGCUCACGGCCUAUCAGCUUGUUGGUGAGGUAACGGCUCACCAAGGCGACGACGGGUAGCCGGCCUGAGAGGGUGACCGGCCACACUGGGACUGAGACACGGCCCAGACUCCUACGGGGGGCAGCAGUGGGGAAUAUUGCACAAUGGGCGCAAGCCUGAUGCAGCGACGCCGCGUGAGGGAUGACGGCCUUCGGGUUGUAAACCUCUGUUAGCAGGGAAGAGGAGAGAUUGACGGUACCUGCAGAGAAAGCGCCGGCUAACUACGUGCCAGCAGCCGCGGUAAUACGUAGGGCGCGAGCGUUGUCCGGAAUUAUUGGGCGUAAAGAGCUUGUAGGCGGUUUGUCGCGUCUGCUGUGAAAGGCCGGGGCUUAACUCCGUGUAUGGCAGUGGGUACGGGCAGACUAGAGUGCAGUAGGGGAGACCGGAAUUCCUGGUGUAGCGGUGGAAUGCGCAGAUAUCAGGAGGAACACCGAUGGCGAAGGCAGGUCUCUGGGCUGUAACUGACGCUGAGAAGCGAAAGCAUGGGGAGCGAACGGGAUUAGAUACCCUGGUAGUCCAUGCCGUAAACGUUGGGCACUAGGUGUGGGGGACAUUCCACGUUUUCCGCGCCGUAGCUAACGCAUUAAGUGCCCCGCCUGGGGAGUACGGCCGCAAGGCUAAAACUCAAAGAAAUUGACGGGGGCCCGCACAAGCGGCGGAGCAUGCGGAUUA
rnacentral:rRNA from 1 species